rnacentral:lncRNA from 1 species
UGAAUAUUUACAUUCUCUCAAAGAGUUUUAAUUUUACUUAGCUAAUACAGAUGAUGAUGGAUUCCCCAACAGAAAUCUUGAUGAUCGAACGAUUAAGGUGAAAAAAAUUGAAGAAUUGCAUCAAUUGUUACAGAGAAUCGAUUUGCAAGCAGAAACAGGUGCUCAAAGAUAAGGGAAUACAACAGCCAUCCACGAUCCUUUACAUAUAAAGGUAUUAUAUUGUACAUUGUAUAUACACUGUAUAUAUUGUCUACAUUUUCUGAAUUUAUGAUUUUUUAAAAAUCUUUCAAAAGAUAUAAAUGUACAUUGUCAUGUCAUGUCAUUCAAAUAGAGACGUGCACACUGCAAUUGUCUUUGAUAAAAGAUAGAGUUACAUGUUACUUUUGUAUGCCUUUUUAGUGUUAUCAGCUUAUAUACUUGUUCAGUAUUGUUAAAAUCUAUAAAUGUACCUUAUAUGUACAUGUAUGUUGAAAUGUCUGUAGGAAUAUAUACAUAAACAUGUAAUCAUAAUGUUUCAAAAAGCCAAACAUUGUAAUUAUUUUUUGGGGCCCAUUAUAGCCUUUUGUUCGGUGUGAGCCAAGGCUCCAUGUUGAAGGCCGUACAUGGACCUAUCGUUGUUUAAUUUUAUAAAUUGUUAUUUGGAUGGAGAGUUGUCUUAUUGAAACUCACACCACAUCUGCCUAUAUCUAUAAUAUAUAUAUAUUGGGAAUCCUCUACACCCUGUAAAUUUCCUUUGCUUAGACUAAGUUUAACAAAUAUAAUAUGCAAUGUUUAUGAUAUAUACUAGACUUGCUUGAAUUUUUUUAAAUUCAACUAAUUAUCUCCUGGCAAUGCACAUUUAGUUAGGGAAUUUUUUAUGUUUUAUUUUGCAGUAAGUAGCUGUUCAUGAUGCUUAUAGGCAUAUACAAUCUAGUCUGGGCAUGUAAAACAGCAGCUGGUUCUAUUUUGAAGUAAGCUAUUUAGUGAUUACAUCAAUUUCACAUGACUAGACCAAGUCUUGGGAUAAAUUAAUAGUACUCAUUGUCAUGAUUGUACUAGCUUUUUAUUGUUUAUAUAUUUUAUGGAAAAUACUGUUAGUAGAGGCCUGCAAAAAUAAAUUUAUAAGGUGAUGAAGUGUGGUUGCCAAUGAGAGUAGAGACAUCUAACCAAUAGCAUGAAUAGAGUCAUGGGGGAUAGAAUUAUACUCUUUUUACAAUUAAGUGUCACAAAAAAAAUUGCAGGAAAAAAAUAAAAAAAAAUAAAAUUAAUUGUGUAUUUAGUACAAUAAGCCAAAUCAAACAAUGACUGACUUAAAUCUUGUUUGAAAUUUUUCACAUUUCUAUUGAUUAAAUAUUACUUUAUAGAUCAAAUUAUAAAUACAUAUAAGGUUAAGUUAAAAGGGCAGUAAUCCAAUUUCAGAUUUUUUGUUGUUGGUUAUAUUGUAUACAGCUGAUUGUACUAUUUACAAAUACUUCUCAUAUGUCAAAAGAAAACACAAUUGCUGUACCUAAUAUUGUGAUUUAUAUUGAAAUUAAUAAAGACAACAAAGAGUUAUUCAAAUAACAAUCUCCCUAGGGGAAAAGGGAGUGUUACAUAAUUUUAGACCUCCAUAGUGGCCCAAAGACACAUCAAACACUCACCAAAAUAUAAGCCUGAACCCCUGAGGGGAUCACACAUCAAAUGAUAAAAGUUGUAUAUAUUCUACACAAUAAGAGCAAACAAUGAAAGUAGGAGUUUUUAAAUAUAAACUGUAAGAUACAAAUUAAUAAAUUUUUUAAUGUUGAUGAAUAAAUCACAAUGUGGUUAAAUAGUUGUAAUAAAAUGUAAUGUCAGCCAACAAUAGUAGAAGGGUUUUAUGUUUAAUGAUUCAUGCUUUUUUUUGUUCAUCUUUAUAUCUGUUCUGGUCAGGAUAGUUGUUGAUGAAGUUAAUGACCAAUCAACUCAAAAAAUAGAUACACAUGUGCCUAAUGUUAUAAUCUUUCUAAUGAUAGAUUAAUGGUUUUGACCCCAAUUUCAUGGUCCAUAGAAAAUACAAAAUUUAUCAUGACUUCUAGCUAUUCUUUUAAUAGAGUUAUGCUACAAGAUAUUUUUGGGUCACUCAUUAGAAUAUUUUUUAAAUGCAAAUGUUUAUGAUUUGAUUACAACUGCAUUAAGAUAGAAAAAUUGGAUGCAGAAAAUUAUUUCUUUUGUCAUAUAGAUAUCAGUUAGUCAAUUUAAUAAAAUUAAACAUUUUUUAAUUACUUUAUUGCAGAAUCUACAAAAUAGAGCUAAGGUCCUUUAAGCCAAGAAACUGCUAGUGUCUGAAGAGGACAAUUUAAGACAGGACAUGAAAAUUGAUUUAAUGUCAAGUUGGAACAGUGAUUCUGUAAAUAAAUUCGCCUGAUCACAAGACCUCGGAUUUGACUGAAUCUUACAUGGAUAGACCAAAGUCAUUUACUAGACUGUAAAUACUAGAGGCAGCUGAAAGCACAAGGCACAAAGCUGAGGUCCAAGUAAAUCAGAGAGGCGGUGUCACAAGAAAUGUACAGAACUUGCAUGUUUUUUUCCUUAAGGGUAUAUGACAAAAUAUUGAGAUAUAUGUCAAUGAAAAUUACUUUGAAUUUAAAAAAGG